UACGUAGGGGGCAAGCGUUGUUCGGAGUUACUGGGCGUAAAGGGUGUGUAGGCGGCUGUUUAAGUUUGGUGUGAAAUCUCCCGGCUUAACCGGGAGGGUGCGCCGAAGACUGAGUGACUAGAGUGCGGGAGAGGAAAGUGGAAUUCCUGGUGUAGCGGUGAAAUGCGUAGAUAUCAGGAGGAACACCGGUGGUGUAGACGGCUUUCUGGACCGUAACUGACGCUGAGACACGAAAGCGUGGGUAGCAAACAGG
rnacentral:rRNA from 1 species